GGGAAGCCUCGCCCCCACCCUGGCCGCGGCGCUGUCUUCACCCCCAAAUGGCUCCGCCCCAUUGCCUCUCCGACAGCCAAUGGAAGCAAAUAACGACGGCAGAUGACGCGGAAAUACGUCACGGGGGCGCGGUGCGCCCGCCUGGGAGCCGGGUUGGCUCAGGCUCCACGGCGCCCUCUGCUGCCUGGAGGCACCAGAUAAACCCACUGGAAAAGAGAGGUUUAGUGUCCAGGCUCCUGGUUCCAGCUGUGCGUGAGAUUCUCAGGGCCAGCCUCCAUCUUCACUCCACCUUUCUUCUGACUUGAAAUCUCAUGCAGUUGAGAGACCAGAGUAUACAGUAUACAUCUGACACAUGGAGCCCUGGGAAGUUGUAGAAAUCCUGUGUUCCUACUGGGCAUGUGGCCAACAAGAAUAAAGACUACAUUCCUAUCAUCCCUUACGCCUAAGUGUGACCAUGUGAUUGAUUACAUUCUGGAUAAUAGGAGUAACCAGAAUUGUAUGCAGCUUCUGGGAAUUGUUCUGAAAAUGUGGGGCCAUCUCAAUCUUUUUUCCUCUUUCCUAUUGACCAGAAUAUAGUUGGAACUUGGCAAGUGAGAGCUCUUGGACAGAGCUUGAGAGACAAACUUGAGAGAGGAAUGAUUGCAUGGUAAGGAGAUAGGGGACUGGAUUCUAAAAACAUGGAGCACCAUGCUGACUUUGGAUUUACUACCUUAAGACUUCUUAUAUGGGAAAGACAAAUUCGAUCUUGUUUAUUAGAAUUUUAGUUUAUUUAGCUUAUUUUUUUUUUAUUUCCUUUUUGCUUCCUGUAAUUUGCAGUUGAGUUGAUCCUAAUUUGUAAACCCUGCCUCGUCACCUUGGUUGCUAAUGCCACUGCAGACCUGCCUAGGUGAUAUCAUCACAAUUUUGAUUUGUCACACACAACUCAGGGGGCAAGGGUAGCCAUAUUUUUGAGACAGAGUCCUCAAGUACACAGCAGACCAUUAUCUCCAGCCAACUCAGUGUUUACCUAAGUGAGGAGUCCAGAUAAAACCAGCCAAUCAAGUGAUCUUCCUUAAAUACAAACAAAUCUAUCAAAUAUGUUAUGCUGAUUAUCUUUGUAACAAAGUUAUAAACUGGUAAAAAUCUCAAGCAUUAAAGAAGCUAUUGUAAACAAUUUCAAAAUCACUUUAUUUUAAUAAAACUGAAAAUUGCCACUUUAGUUUCGUUGAUUCUAAUCAAAAUCAAAGUUAUACCAUAUGUGGACAAUGAUGGUUUAUAUUUGUAACUGAAAUAUUUAUGUCUCUGAAAAUAGAACCACAUGUUUAUACUAAAACAACCCCCCCCUCCAAAAAAAAAAAAAAAAAGCACACAAAAAAACCCAAAA